CUUUAUGGCCAUACCACCCUGAAUGCACCUGAUCUCAUCUGAUCUUGGAAGCUAAGCAGUGUUGGGCCUGGUUACGAGCCCUUUGUCAGUUAUGCUUGUUGCACAUACCUUCUUUCACUCUGCAGGUUACCUUAAAUA
ensembl:rRNA 5S_rRNA 5S ribosomal RNA